rnacentral:rRNA from 1 species
UUCGCAAUGCCCGAAAGGGUGACGAAGCGACGCCGCGUGGGUGAGGAAGGCCUUCGGGUUGUAAAGCCCUGUCAGGAGUUAAGAAAUAUAAGUGUGUUAAUACCGCAUUUAUUUGACGAAACUCCAAAGGAAGCCACGGCUAACUCUGUGCCAGCAGCCGCGGUAAUACAGAGGUGGCGAGCGUUGUUCGGUAUUAUUGGGCGUAAAGAGCACGUAGGUGGUUUUGUAAGUCAGGUGUGAAAGCCUUCUGUUCAAAGGAAGAACGGCAUCUGAAACUGCAGAUCUUGAGUGUAGGAGGGGAGAGUGGAACUUCUGGUGGAGCGGUGAAAUGCGUAGAUAUCAGAAGGAACGUCGGCGGCGAAAGCGACUCUCUGGCCUAUUACUGACACUGAGGUGCGAAAGUUAGGGGAGCAAACGGGAUUAGAUACCCCGGUAGUCCUAACCGUAAACGAUGGGCACUAAGUAGAGGGGUUUU